rnacentral:rRNA from 1 species
UACGAAGGGGGCGAGCGUUGUUCGGAUUUACUGGGCGUAAAGGGCGUGCAGGCGGCGCAUUUUGUCAGGCGUGAAAGCCCCGGGCUUAACCUGGGAACUGCGUUUGAUACGGAUGGGCUAGAGUUCGGGAGAGGAGAGUGGAAUUCCCAGUGUAGAGGUGAAAUUCGUAGAUAUGGGGAGGAACACCGGUGGCGAAGGCGGCCAUCUGGACGGAUACUGACGCUGAGACGCGAAAGCGUGGGUAGCAAACAGG